rfam:Allomyces macrogynus ATCC 38327 genomic scaffold supercont3.8, whole genome shotgun sequence.
GAGCUCAUGGUGUAGUGGUAUCAUAUCUGCUUUGGGUGCAGGAGGUCUCGGGUUCGAACCCCGGUGGGCCCC